UACGAAGGGGGCUAGCGUUGUUCGGAAUUACUGGGCGUAAAGCGCACGUAGGCGGACAUUUAGGUCAGGGGUGAAAUCCCGGGGCUCAACCCCGGAACGGCCUUUGAUACUGGGUGUCUUGAGUUCGGAAGAGGUGAGUGGAAUUGCGAGUGUAGAGGUGAAAUUCGUAGAUAUUGCAGGAACACCAGUGGCGAAGGCGGCUCACUGGACUGGUAUUGACGCUGAGGUGCGAAAGCGUGGGGAGCAAACA
rnacentral:rRNA from 1 species